CCCUGGGUUAAUUUCUACAUGAUUAUUUUUUAUUAUCAUUUGCAUUUUAUUUAUUUGUUUAUUUUAUGCAGAAAUGCGCUGCUUGGUGAUGAGAGUUUAUUAUUAAAUCAAAGUGUACCUGUUCAGAAAUGGUAAUAUCUUUAAGUUGUAUUUGGUUUAAGGUUAUUGGCUAAAAACAGCUUGAUCCCGCCUCAUAUCAGUUAUGGCAGCUGUGAUUGGCCAGGGCUAGUGUGAGUGAGGAGGUGAAAAAAAGAAGGAGAAAAAAAAGCAUGUUGUCGGCAUGAUAACAGAGCGCGCUGGUUUUAUUUGUGUAAAAAUAUAGUCUUUACUGCAUUAUUUAAGUGUUAAACUGAAUAGUAUUCUGUUGUGAAGUCAACACGAUCACACAACAAAGUCAACACGACGAUUCGGAAGAACUGUUAGUUUAUUGCUUGAUCGCUAUCGCAGUAAAUUGGACUAUUUAUGUUACUGGUGAGAAACUUUACUCAAGUUUAACGUUAUCCCUUACAUCGGUGUGUAUGUGAGAGCAUCAAAGGUGAUCUAAGUGAUUACUAAGAACUGUUAGUGCAUCGAUUGAGAGUGACGGAGCCACUGAGGAGGAAUCCAGAUAGCGCUCCUAAUCGCCGAGUGGUUAGGAGUUCCUCUGGCAUCGCGGGAACAUCACAGAGCUUCCUAAAUGAUGAGGGUUUCACGUGGAUCGAUCUGACGGGUGACGGGAAUCGUUAACCCUUGCCAUUUACAUUCAGCUCUGCUGGUGCUGAAAGAGGAGAAUCAAGAUCUGAAUGAAAUGGAACAAACAGAUCAGUAUGAGAAACACCAUGAUUUCAAAACUGGUGAAGAAGACACACAAAACAGCGUCUGUACGAAAAAGAGCUCAGAAAACCAAAUCUACCUGCUCUUUCGCCUGCCAUCUCUGUGAGAAAAGUUUUGAUGAAAUACAUCAACUUAAAAUGCAUUUGAGAUUUCACACUGGAGAGAGACCAUUCCCCUGCCAACAGUGUGGAAAGAGGUUCACUCAAAAAGAAGACCUUCAAAGGCACGUGCAAAUUCAUGCUGGAGAAAAGCCAUAACAGUUAUGAAAGUUACGAAAGACCGUAGUGUUGAAAAGCUCUGUCGUGAUCGGUUCUGUUUUGGUUUCAGGUUUGGAGAAAUUAAGGAAAUACACUUACAAUUUAUUAUUGCUGCAUUAACGUUAUAAAGCAAGUAUCUUGCCUUACAGUUUCUAAAUGCAAUAAUACUGAAACUUUCACUUUCCAGGCUUCGGGUGUGAUAUAUAAAUGGAAAUGACUUUAGUAGCUUAAUUGUCUAAUAAACUGUUUUAUUCCACACAUGACUGAGACUGAACGAGUAUGAAGGAUCAAACCUGCAAAAAUUAAUUGAAUAUAAAUAUAAUUGAAUAAAUAAAUAAUUCAUAUGUAAUAAAAUUUAAUUCAGAUUUUUUUUCCUUUAUAAAAUAUUACAUUUAUUUUUAUUUAUUCAUUUUUAAAUUCUUUUUUUUUGUAUCAUUUUUCAUUGAAUUCAGUGAUGUCAUCUCUGUUCAGUUUAAAUAGUGUCUGUGCAUUUAUUUGCAAUCAAAUCAACGAUAUCACUGUAGAUGAAGUGACCCCAACUAAGCAAGCCAGAGGUGACAGCAGCAAGGAACCGAAACCUCAUCGGUGACAGAAUGGAGAAAAAAACCUUGGGAGAAACCAGGCUCAGUUGGGGUCAGUUCUCCUCUGACCAGACGAAACCAGCAGUUCAAUUCCAGGCUGCAGCAAAGUCAGAUUGUGCAGAAGAAUCAUCUGUUUCCUGUGGUCUUGUCCUGGUGGUCCUCUGAGACAAGGUCUUUACAGGGGAUCUGUAUCCGGGGCUCUAGUUGUCCUGGUCUCCGCUGUCUUUCAGGGCAAUAAAGGUCCUUUUUAGGUGCUGAUCCACCAUCUGGUAUGGAUACGUACUGGAUCCGGGUGACUGCAGUGACCCUCUGAUCUGGACACAGACUGGAUCUGAUGGCUACGGUGACCUCGGAAUAAGAGAGAAACAGACAAAUAUUAGUGUAGAUGCCAUUCUUCUAAUGAUGUAGCAAGUACAUAGGGUGUUAUGGGAAGUGUUCCCGGUUCCGGUUUACCUAAUUAAUGCAGCCUAAAAAUCCUUUAACGGAUUUGGAUAUUAAAAGCAUAUUAGUAUGUUAUGUGUAUGCCAGGUUAAAGAGAUGGGUCUUUAAUCUAGAUUUAAACUGCAAGAGUGUGUCUGCCUCCUGAACAAUGUUAGGUAGGUUAUUCCAGAGUUUAGGCACCAAAUAGGAAAAGGAUUGGCUGCCCGCAGUUGAUUUUGAUAUUCUAGGUAUUAUCAAAUUGCCUGAGUUUUGAGAACGUAUUUCACGGUUGGUAAAUAUUCGCACUUUGUGGUGAAGUCUGUGUGUUUCGCGUCUGCACUGAUUAGUUUGUGGGUGUCUCCGUUAAUUGUCAUCAGCAGCAGCUGUCAAUCAUUACACACUCCCUAUAUAUUGGCUUGUCUCACGUCUUGUGUUUGUGACAAUGUUGUUUCAUGUCGAGUAACUGUCGUAUGCUUCUGUGUUGGUCUGCGUUGGAUGUUCGUGUCUUCCCCCAGAACCUCAUCCACUCUUCGCACCUCCACAAGCAUCACUACUUACCUUCGGCUCGAUUCCCCGCAGUUCCUGUGCCAUCCUCUCCUGCUGCCAACUCACCAUCACCAUCCGGAUUACUCACAGAGACACUGUUCCAGCGUGCAUCGGCCUGCACACCCACUGCUACUUAGCCAAGACUUUGAGUGCCUGUCUGAAACUUCAACCAGCCCGCAACUCCGCAUCUUCAGUCAACGCCCAACCACUGGCUUCCCAAGACAUCACUUCAACGACUACUGAACUUCCACCAAAUCAGCAACCUCUGGAAACCCCUCUUUUCGAUGACAUCAAAGGGGAACCCCUUUACACAGGCAACACAAGUAACUUACCUCCAGAUUGAGCUGAACAGGUGCAUUUAAUAUGAAGUUUAACCUCACUGAGGAACUCAAUGUGAGGGUUAGUUAAGUGAUUGAUGGUUGUUCAUGUCUGCAAUUUCACGUAUUGAUAUAAAUUUGGGAUUUCACAUUUUCAUCCUCUUAAACUCAUUCUUUACUUUCCAUCUUCCUGCAACUUGAAUGUGUGAAUGUAUAUGUUCAUGUGAUAGAUUAGUCUGUAUAUCUUUAUACAAUAAAGCCUUAUUUAUAUUUGUUA